rnacentral:misc_RNA from 1 species
AGUCCAGCGAUGUAAUAAUAACAAUGCUACCUUCAUCCUCCCAUGUUUUGAAUGUCUUCAGUGGAGAACAUGGCUUGCUCCACGGGGGAAGCCAUUUAAGGCCGUGGUUGUUCGUGGACUCUUCAACAAUCGAUCCACAUACUUCAAGAAAUCUUUCCGCGAACAUCUCGAAAUGUCUUCUGAAAGAAAACAAAGGUUAUGCGGAUACUCCAGUCAUGUUGGAUGCUCCUGUAUCUGGGGGAGUU